rnacentral:tRNA from 5 species
CGGGGCGUAGCUCAGUCUGGUAGAGUGCUUGCUUUGGGAGCAAGAUGCCGGGGGUUCGAAUCCUCUCGCCCCGACCA